rnacentral:rRNA from 1 species
CGUGCAGGCGGUUUGGUAAGUUGGAUCUGAAAGCUCCCGGCUCAACUGGGAGAGGUCGUUCAAUACUACCAGACUUGAGAGUGGUAGAGGGAGGUGGAAUUCCCGGUGUAGUGGUGAAAUGCGUAGAUAUCGGGAGGAACACCAGUGGCGAAAGCGGCCUCCUGGACCAUUUCUGACGCUCAGACGCGAAAGCUAGGGGAGCAAACGGGAUUAGAGACCCCGGUAGUCCUAGCUGUAAACGAUGUGAACUUGGCGUCGGUGGUGUAAAAACCAUCGGUGCCGCAGCCAACGCGAUAAGUUCACCGCCUGGGGACUACGGCCGCAAGGUUAAA